rnacentral:rRNA from 1 species
AUGGUUGAGUCAGGAAAGCAUGAACCAUAUUAUAUUGUUUACAAACUUUUUAAUUUGGUGCUCACUAUUCCGGUAGCCACUGCUAGUGUUGAAAGGGUAUUUUCCUCAGUGAACUAUGUGGAGAAUUAACUAAGGAACAAAAUGGGUGAUGAAUAUUUAAACAAUUGCUUGGUUACAUUUAUUAAAAGAGAAUUUCUUCAUGGAAGUUAUAGAUGA